rnacentral:rRNA from 1 species
UGGGGAAUAUUGCACAAUGGGCGCAAGCCUGAUGCAGCCAUGCCGCGUGUGUGAAGAAGGCCUUCGGGUUGUAAAGCACUUUCAGCGAGGAGGAAGGUGGUGAGCUUAAUACGCUCAUCAAUUGACGUUACUCGCAGAAGAAGCACCGGCUAACUCCGUGCCAGCAGCCGCGGUAAUACGGAGGGUGCAAGCGUUAAUCGGAAUUACUGGGCGUAAAGCGCACGCAGGCGGUUUGUUAAGUCAGAUGUGAAAUCCCCGGGCUCAACCUGGGAACUGCAUUUGAAACUGGCAAGCUAGAGUCUCGUAGAGGGGGGUAGAAUUCCAGGUGUAGCGGUGAAAUGCGUAGAGAUCUGGAGGAAUACCGGUGGCGAAGGCGGCCCCCUGGACGAAGACUGACGCUCAGGUGCGAAAGCGUGGGGAGCAAAACAGGAUUAGAUACCCUGGUAGUCCACGCUGUAAACGAUGUCGAUUUUGGAGGUUGUGCCCUUGAGGCGUGGCUUCCGGAGCUAACGCGUUAAAUCGACCGCCUGGGGAGUACGGCCGCAAGGUUAAAACUUAAAUGAAUUG